AGUUCUUUUCUUUCCGAUGGUGUCAGUGCUCAGUGCAAAAUCAGAUGCUGAAUUGGAAACAAUCGGAUCAACUAUGAAUUUACCCUUCAUGCCUACGGUCUGUCCAAACCACAUCGACUGGCUUUUCCCCGAGUAUGAUGGUAGAAGCGAGCCCGGAACAAAGAAGAUCCGGCUUAUAUACUUCUUGGAAGAAGGUUGGCCGAAAGCCAGAAAACUUGAAUAUAGGAGCAUUGAUGGAAGACGUAGGAACAUCUCUUUGUUGACUGUCGGAAUUUCGGAGUGGGAUGAAAAAGUGCACUCGAAACCUCAUCGUCUUCAGUUCGCUUUCUUAUUUGUUUGGGUCGUAUCUUCCCUGAUCCGUCCUCACAAUUAGAAGGAAAUAUGCCAAAACUUCCAAAAAUUCUUACCAGCCCUACGCUCUGGGUCUUUUUUACUGUGCAAAUACCAAUUCUUUGGUAGACAAUUAUAUGACUGUCCAUGAUCUUCUUUCACAUCAAGACGAAUUUUAUUUAAUUUUCUCCGUUGAAUUACAU